rnacentral:rRNA from 1 species
UACGUAGGGACCGAGCGUUGUCCGGAAUCAUUGGGCGUAAAGAGCGUGUAGGCGGUCCGGUAAGUCUGCUGUGAAAGUCGGGGGCUCAACCCUCGAAUGCCGGUGGAUACUGUCGGGCUAGAGUGCGGAAGAGGCGAGUGGAAUUCCUGGUGUAGCGGUGAAAUGCGCAGAUAUCAGGAGGAACACCUAUUGCGAAGGCAGCUCGCUGGGACGUAACUGACGCUGAGACGCGAAAGCGUGGGGAGCAAACAGG